rnacentral:lncRNA from 1 species
GCUUGAAAUGUGUGUCAUGGCAUUAUCAGUUUACGAGUAAAUAAAAAAAUUCUGAAAAAUAUUUAUUGAGGAAUUGAAGAUGACAAUGCUAAAAAAAAUUAAAUCGGUUGACUUCUAUGAAAACUAAGUACUGUUCAGUUUUUAAUUAUUUCUGUAUAUGAAUUUUAUUUGUUUCCUAUAUUUUGAAUACAUAAUGUUCCUGAUGAAAAAAAGUUAAUCAUUGAUUUUCGACAGAGCGAUUGAGUUGAGCAGGGACAAUGAUGAUCAACACCAAAUGAGAAAAAAAAAAUAAGAAAGAAGAAAGUGAAAGACAACUGGAUAUCUUAUACAACCAAUUGGAGAAAGAAUAAAAGUAGCAAAGUAUCAACAGAAGAUUUGAUGGCAUGAUCAAUUCAAAAUCUAUAAGAAAGUGGCAAUCGAAGAUCAUCUAAAAUGGAGAAAAACUAACAAAGUAUAAAUAGACGAUUUUAGAUCAUAAGCGGAUUGACCAAUAGCCGAAAGGUGAUAAAUAUAUACCUAAUAUUGAUAAAAAGUAAAUCAACAAAAAGUAACAACAAAAAAUCGUUAUAGAAAUUGCAAUUGAAUAUUUGACAUCAUCAGAAGAUCCAAAAAUGAAAUAAAAAAAAUUAAAGAUCUGACAUAAACACAGAAUGAGCAAGUGAUAUCGUAGAUGCAACUCAGUACAAAAAAAUGCAUAGUAAAGAUGUGACUAGUGAAGAUCGGACAUCAUCAGUAGAUAGAGAAAAUCAUUACGUUAUGAAAAAACCCGAAGUUCUGGAAUCAACACAAGAUGAUAAAGGUGGAUAGAGAUUAACGAAUAUCUUUUAGAUACAAUGGAGAAAAACAAAAUGUAAUUCGGGAAAACCUAAAAGUAAUAAAGCCCCGGUC